CGCCCCUGGCCCUGGCCCUGCUCCCGCCCAGGCUAGACGCCCGGCUGCUCCGCACGGCGCGCGGGGACUGCCGCGGCCACCAGUCCGACAGGUGGCACACAGGUCUUGGGGAUCCUCUCCAGAGUGGCACCUUCUGCACACACCGUGCCGCCUCCUGAUGAUUCUUCAGGGCCCAGCCCAGCUGUUCCUUCCUCCGGGAAGCCCUCUCUAACGACCUGUGAGGUCUCGGAUGCCUCCACUGGGCCUGCUUCCACCCCAUGGCUGUGGGUCUUCUCUGCACUCAUCUGGAAUGGCCUCUUGUCCUGCCUGUCAGCCACAUUGACCUUGUCCCCAGCUCAGGCCCUGGCACUGGAGCGGUGUGUGUGUAUACAGUGGCAAAGAGUUGGCCUCAGACUCCCUGGAUUCCUCUCUCUACUCACUUGUUGUUGACUUUGAUCAAAUUCCCUUCUCUCUAUCUCAGGCCCCUCAUCUGUAAAAUGGGACGUUAAUAAUUCAGACUUCAUAGAAUAUGAAUGUAAAAUGAGAUAUGUUCAUACCUGGCAUCUGGUGUGUCCUAAAUUAAGGUUAGAAAUGACUAUAAUUGCAGUAAAUAUAUACAGUCACAAGGCCCCAGG
rnacentral:lncRNA from 10 species